AUACCAAAUAUAAAUGCAAUAUAACGUGAGAGUAACAUGUAAUAUAACAGACGUUACACUCUAUUUAUAUUAUAGUUACGAAACUUUACUACAUAUAUGUGAUGUAACAAAGUUAUGAAGCUAUAAUAUUACUUCGUUAUUUGUAUGUUACAAUAACCGGACAGUGAUGUAACCACAAUGUUGCGUGGUUACACAACAAUUGUUUUACUUAUGUUAUAUGGAUAUUAUAAAAUUUGAAUCUUGUGAGACUCUAACCUCAAUCGCACAACGUACAUCUCGUGCAUUAGGCGCGCUUUCCCCUAGUGGAUGCUAUAAUGACGAAAGAGAGACGUUGUUUUCUUGCAACUUGACUUUAAUCAGGAUUCUGUCAAUUAUUCUUACAUCAUUCGGACAACUGUUCUUCUUAAAAUUUAAAAGAACGUAAAGAAUAACUGAAGUUUAUAAAAGCUGAAGAAAUUUUCACAAGGAUUAGAACAGAAAACUGAACUCAAAUGGAAGCGCACUCAUGUCACUAUCAUGUCCUGACAAUUUCGGAUUUUAUAAAACUAUAGGAGACGUGAUUGACGUUGAGAUUGUGAUUGACAGUUGGAGCAAAGCUAUAAUUUAGUUCAACAUUACGUGAAGUUUAUUUAAUGUUUUUCUCUUAUUUUCCCUCGUUUUUUAUGUUUUUAAAAAUUAUUUUUAAAAUAUAUUUACUAAUAAUCAUAAAGUAUAAUAUGUAUACAUUUGUUUAGAUAUAAGUUUAUUUUGUUGAUAAAU